rnacentral:rRNA from 1 species
AUUGAACGCUGGCGGCAGGCCUAACACAUGCAAGUCGAACGAGUGGCGGACGGGUGAGUAAUGUCUGGGAAACUGCCUGAUGGAGGGGGAUAACUACUGGAAACCGUAGCUAAUACCGCAUACCAUCAGAUGUGCCCAGAGGGGAUUAGCUGGUGGGUGGGGUAACGGCUCACCAAGGCGACGAUCCCUAGCUGGUCUGAGAGGAUUACCAGCCACACUGGAACUGAGACACGGUCCAGACUCCUACGGGAGGCAGCAGUGGGGAAUAUUGGACAAUGGGCGAAAGCCUGAUACAGCCAUGCCGCGUGUAUGAAGAAGGCCUUCGGGUUGUAAAGUACUGUCAGCGGGGAGGCGUUACCCACAGAGGAAGCACCGGCUAACUCCGUGCCAGCAGCCGCGGUAAUUC